CAUCUGGUCUGCACAUUUUUCGGUAAAGGCAAAACGUGCGCGCAGUGGCUUUUCGACGAAAAAAGGGUUCUUGAGAUUUGUGCUGGUAGUGUUUCAAACAGAAAAAACAAUAUUACGAAGUAGGAUUCAUACCAAGUUUGUGAGUUGACGAUCGGUAGUGGUGCAGUUGCAGCAUACUGUCAUCUGGUUGAUCCUGUACAUUCUUAAAAAAGAUGCCUUCCCUUGUUUCUUGCCACCACUUAUGGGUAUCCAACAAGAAGUCUGCUAUUCUUUUCAAGUAGCAUUCGUGAUCUCUUGGAUAUUUCUCUAUCCAGUGGAAUGGUAUCAAUGUUCCUAUGAAUUUAAUGGAAGCAAUUGCACAAACUCUUUAGAAGAUCACAAGAAAAUUUUACAUUGCGUUGGUGAAGUUCAUUUAUCAAUUCAUGUUUCUUCAAUCCGUCAUAAAGUUUUACGGCACCAUUAUUUAAUUUAUCUGCAGAAGAAACAGAUUUUAAUACGUGGCUGAUGCAAUCUUGUAGAGAAAGAUGCUUUAAAGGGAAACUAAGGUAUGUACGAGACUAGCAACACAAUAUGCAUGCACUGGACACAAGAAGCAAAAGUAAUUUUACCUUUCUGCUGACCUGAUUCAAAUGAAGCUGCAGGACUAUCACCCUUAAAGAAACGCAUAACAUCGAUAAUGUCAUAUCCAAUGCUUUCUUCCAUGGCCAUGAUGUCCUUAAUACGUUCAUUCAAAUAUAGAAGUUGUUGAUCUGUGGAAGGGCAUCUUGCCAAGAGAACCACCCUGGUGAAAUUUUGUGGAAUUAGAAGUUUACCAAAUGUCGAAAUUUGUUUACUUAUAUAAUCUGGUUACCGUUCAACUGCUGUUUCUGACCAUUGAUUCUCAAUAUCUUUUUUAACGGUGCGCAAAAGAUCACGUUUUUCGUUUUCGUCUUUCUCCAGUACCAACGUUUUAAACUGGGAUGUAAAUGACGCAUUGUACUUAGAUGCAAACUCGUCAUCAAGUACGCAUACUGCAUUGUCAAGUCGAUUCUAUAUAUACGUUAAAAAAUACUUUUUAUAUGUAUGUAGCCUAAUUUAUUUUAUUGUAUUAUUUAAAUUUAAUGAUAAAACAACAAACCUUAA